CACCGCGGUUAAACGAGAGGCCCUAGUUGAUAUUAUUACGGCGUAAAGGGUGGUUAAGGAAAUAAAAGUCAAUAAAGCCAAAUGGCCCUUUGGCCGUCAUACGCUUCUAGGUGUCCGAAGUCCGACCACACGAAAGUAGCUUUAGUAAACCCACCUGACCCCACGAAAGCUGAGGAA
rnacentral:rRNA from 1 species